UACGGAGGGAGCUAGCGUUAUUCGGAAUUACUGGGCGUAAAGCGCACGUAGGCGGCUUUGUAAGUCAGAGGUGAAAGCCUGGAGCUCAACUCCAGAACUGCCUUUGAGACUGCAUCGCUUGAAUCCAGGAGAGGUGAGUGGAAUUCCGAGUGUAGAGGUGAAAUUCGUAGAUAUUCGGAAGAACACCAGUGGCGAAGGCGGCUCACUGAGCUGGUAUUGACGCUGAGGUGCGAAAGCGUGGGGAGCAAACAGG
rnacentral:rRNA from 1 species